rnacentral:rRNA from 1 species
GACGAACGCUGGCGGCGUGCUUAACACAUGCAAGUCGAACGGAAAGGCCCUGCUUUUGUGGGGUGCUCGAGUGGCGAACGGGUGAGUAACACGUGAGUAACCUGCCCUUGACUUUGGGAUAACUUCAGGAAACUGGGGCUAAUACCGGAUAGGAGCUCCUGCUGCAUGGUGGGGGUUGGAAAGUUUCGGCGGUUGGGGAUGGACUCGCGGCUUAUCAGCUUGUUGGUGGGGUAGUGGCUUACCAAGGCUUUGACGGGUAGCCGGCCUGAGAGGGUGACCGGCCACAUUGGGACUGAGAUACGGCCCAGACUCCUACGGGAGGCAGCAGUGGGGAAUAUUGCACAGUGGGCGGAAGCCUGAUGCAGCAACGCCGCGUGCGGGAUAACGGCCUUCGGGUUGUAAACCGCUUUCGCCUGUGACGAAGCGUGAGUGACGGUAAUGGGUAAAGAAGCACCGGCUAACUACGUG